UACAGAGGUCCCAAGCGUUGUUCGGAUUCACUGGGCGUAAAGGGUGCGUAGGCGGUUGGGUAAGUCUGACGUGAAAUCUCCGGGCCUAACCCGGAAACUGCGUCGGAUACUAUCCGGCUAGAGGAUUGGAAGGGAGACUGGAAUACUUGGUGUAGCAGUGAAAUGCGUAGAUAUCAAGUGGAACACCAGUGGCGAAGGCGAGUCUCUGGACAAUUCCUGACGCUGAGGCACGAAAGCCAGGGGAGCAAACGGG
rnacentral:rRNA from 1 species